rnacentral:rRNA from 1 species
CCCUUAGAUGUCCUGGGCCGCACGCGCGCUACACUGAGUGUCUGAGAUACGAGUCUGCCUGGUCCGGCAAGGUCUAGGUAAUCGCUAAAAGACACAUCAUGCUUGGGAUAGAUUAUUGCAAAUAUUAAUCUUGAACGAGGAGUUCCUAGUAAGCGCAAGUCAACAGCUUGCGUUGAUUACGUCCCUGCCCUUUGUACACACCGCCCGUCGCUCCUACCGAUGAAUCGUCCGGUGAAGUUCAUGGAGGGGCGGUUGUUUCAACUGCCGUUGAAGUGAAAUGGACCUCACGAUUUAGAGGAAGGAGAAGUCGUAACA